rnacentral:lncRNA from 1 species
GUUGCCAAAGCCACGAUCGAGCAUUUUCUCCCUCAACCUCCCACGGUCCAUUGCCCUAGUCAUUCACUCCACCAAAAUCCCACCCGAGACUUCAUCUCUGUCUCUUCCCCUCGAUGCUCACCAGAAGAACACACACACUUCAAAAAAAAAAAGAAAAAAAAACCUUAUGUUGCCCAUUUCUUCUCUCUCGGCUCCCACACAAAAGUAAAAAAAAAAGAAACCCCUGUGGCUGCUCCUCCCCUUCCACCCGUCACCGUGCCCGAGGCCACCAUCACCCCGCAUCGCGCCACCUCCCCGCCGUUGAACUUUGCCGAUGAGCACCCCACCCGAGCCGCCCGCGUCUGCCACCGGCCGCCUGCGCCGGGUCCGCAAAAGAAACUGCCGCAGUGGAACAACCCGUGGUCGGCCGCCAUCUGUCGCCAAAAGUCCGCAGCCGCCACCAGCCGGAGCUCGUGA